GGCCGCUUGGCCCAAUGGUAAGGCGUCUGACUACGAAUCAGGAGAUUCUGGGUUCGAGCCCCAGGGUGGUCA
rnacentral:tRNA from 1 species